rnacentral:rRNA from 1 species
UCAAGCGACUAAGUGUAUGUGGUGGAUGCCUUGGCGAUUACAGGCGAAGAAGGACGUCGCAGCCUGCGAAAAGCCGUGGGGAGCUGGCAAGCGAGCACUGAUCCACGGAUGUCCGAAUGAGGGAACUCACCCGCAAGGGUAUCUUGAAGUGAAUACAUAGCUUCAAGAGGCGAACGCAGCGAACUGAAACAUCUAAGUAGCUGCAGGAAAAGAAAUCAACCGAGAUUCUGAAAGUAGCGGCGAGCGAAAUUGGAAGAGCCUGCAAGUGAUAUUGAAUUCGAUACUGGAACGGUCUGGAAAGUCCGGCUACAGAGGGUGACAGCCCCGUACGGGAAAUUGGGUUCAAGGUACUGAGCUUGCGAGAAGUAGAGCGGGACACGUGAAAUCCUGCUCGAAGAUGGGGGGACCAUCCUCCAAGGCUAAAUACUCGUAAUCGACCGAUAGCGAACCAGUACUGUGAAGGAAAGGCGAAAAGAACCCCGGGAGGGGAGUGAAAUAGAUCCUGAAACCGCAUACAUACAAACAGUAGGAGCCCGCAAGGGUGACUGCGUACCUUUUGCAUAAUGGGUCAGCGACUUACGUUCAAUGGCAAGCUUAACCGAGUAGGGGAGGCGCAGCGAAAGCGAGUCCGAACAGGGCGAUAUGAGUCGUUGGGCGUAGACCCGAAACCAGAUGAUCUAUCCAUGGCCAGGCUGAAGGUGUGGUAACACACACUGGAGGGCCGAACCGACUAGUGUUGCAAAAUUAGCGGAUGAGCUGUGGAUAGGGGUGAAAGGCUAAACAAAUCUGGAGAUAGCUGGUUCUCCCCGAAAACUAUUGAGGUAGUGCCUCGUGUAUGGCUCCAGGGGGUAGAGCACUGUUAUGGCUAGGGGGACAUGGCGUCUUACCAAACCAUGGCAAACUCCGAAUACUUGGAAGUCUGAGCACGGGAGACAGAGCACCGGGUGCUAACGUCCGGACUCAAAAGGGAAACAACCCAGACCGCCGGCUAAGGUCCCUAAUAUUGACUAAGUGGAAAACGAAGUGGGAAGGCUAAGACAGUCAGGAAGUUGGCUUAGAAGCAGCCAUCCUUCAAAGAAAGCGUAAUAGCUCACUGAUCGAGUCUUCCUGCGCGGAAGAUGUAACGGGGCUAAGUCAAUAACCGAAGCCGCGGAUUCGCAGCAAUGCGAGUGGUAGGGGAGCGUUCUGUAAGCCUGCGAAGGCGGAUCUGCGAGGACCGCUGGAGGUAUCAGAAGUGCGAAUGCUGACAUGAGUAACGUUAAAGCGGGUGAAAAGCCCGCUCGCCGCAAGCCCAAGGUUUCCUGCUCUACGUUCAUCGGAGCAGGGUGAGUCGGCCCCUAAGGUCAGGCUGAGAAGCGUAGCUGAUGGGAAGCUGGUUAAUAUUCCAGCACCGAUUUCAAGUGCGAAGGGGGGACGGAGUCCUGAAGGUCAUCCGGGUGUUGGACAUCCCGGUUUACGAGCGUAGGAGGUUGACAGGCAAAUCCGUCAACGGAUCUCCAAGGCGAAGGAUCGAGGUUGAGAGAUCAACUGAAGUGACUGAAUGGGCUUCCAGGAAAAGCCUCUAAGCAUCAGCUUGGAAUUGACCGUACCGCAAACCGACACUGGUGGGCGAGCUGAAUAUGCUCAGGCGCUUGAGAGAACUCAGGAGAAGGAACUCGGCAAAUUGACACCGUAACUUCGGGAUAAGGUGUGCCUUUGUAGUGUGAAGAGAGAAACACUCCGAGCAUGAAGAGGCCUCAGAGAAUCGGUGGCUGCAACUGUUUACUAAAAACACAGCACUCUGCAAAGAUGAAAGUCGACGUAUAGGGUGUGAUGCCUGCCCGGUGCUGGAAGAUUAAUUGAUGGGGUGCAAGCUCCUGAUCGAAGUCCCAGUAAACGGCGGCCGUAACUAUAACGGUCCUAAGGUAGCGAAAUUCCUUGUCGGGU